rnacentral:rRNA from 1 species
CCUACGGGAGGCAGCAGUGGGGAAUCUUGCGCAAUGGGCGAAAGCCUGACGCAGCGACGCCGCGUGAGUGAUGAAGGCCUUCGGUUGUAAAGCUCUGGGGGAGAAGGUCCGGUACCUUUUUAGCAAGCACCGGCUAACUCUGUGCCAGCAGCCGCGGUAAGACAGAGGGUGCAAACGUUGUUCGGAAUUACGGGCGUAAAGCGCGUGUAGGCUGCUCGGAAAGUCGGAUGUGAAAGCCCUGGGCUUAACCCAGGAAGUGCAUUCGAAACUUCCGAGCUCGAGUCCUGGAGAGGGUGGCGGAAUUCUCGGUGUAGAGGUGAAAUUCGUAGAUAUCGAGAGGAACACCGGUGGCGAAGCGGCUACCUGGCAUGACUGACGCUGAGACGCGAAAGCGUGGGGAGCAAACAGGAUUAGAUACCCUUGUAGUC